rnacentral:rRNA from 1 species
GACGAACGCUGGCGGCGUGCUUAACACAUGCAAGUCGAACGGAAAGGCCCUGCUUUUGUGGGGUGCUCGAGUGGCGAACGGGUGAGUAACACGUGAGUAACCUGCCCUUUACUUUGGGAUAACUUCAGGAAACUGGGGCUAAUACCGGAUAGGAGCUCCAGCUGCAUGGUGGGGGUUGGAAAGUUUCGGCGGUUGGGGAUGGACUCGCGGCUUAUCAGCUUGUUGGUGGGGUAGUGGCUUACCAAGGCUUUGACGGGUAGCCGGCCUGAGAGGGUGACCGGCCACAUUGGGACUGAGAUACGGCCCAGACUCCUACGGGAGGCAGCAGUGGGGAAUAUUGCACAAUGGGCGGAAGCCUGAUGCAGCAACGCCGCGUGCGGGAUGACGGCCUUCGGGUUGUAAACCGCUUUCGCCUGUGACGAAGCGUGAGUGACGGUAAUGGGUAAAGAAGCACCGGCUAACUACGUG